GUCGAGAGGCUUUGGCAAUGGGGGAAACCCUGACCAAGCGACGCCGCGUGGAGGAUGAAGGCCCUUGGGUUGUAAACUCCUUUUGCCGGGGAAGAAGUGCGAUCAGGUGAACAAUCUGGUCGUUUGACGGUACCUGGCGAAUAAGCUCCGGCCAACUCCGUGCCAGCAGCCGCGGUAACACGGGGGGAGCAAGCGUUGUUCGGAAUCACUGGGCGUAAAGGGCGUGUAGGCGGUCAGGUAAGUGGAAUGUGAAAUGCCCCGGCUCACCCGGGGACCGGCAUCCCAAACUGCCUGGCUUGAGUAUGGGAGAGGAUGGAGGAAUUCCUGGUGUAGCGGUGAAAUGCGUAGAUAUCAGGAGGAACACCGGUGGCGAAGGCGUCCAUCUGGCCCAAUACUGACGCUGAGGCGCGAAAGCUAGGGGAGCAAACGGGAUUAGAAACCCGAGUAGUCC
rnacentral:rRNA from 1 species